rnacentral:rRNA from 1 species
GACGAACGCUGGCGGCGUGCUUAACACAUGCAAGUCGAACGGAAAGGCCCUGCUUGCAGGGUGCUCGAGUGGCGAACGGGUGAGUAACACGUGGGUGAUCUGCCCCUUACUUUGGGAUAAGCCUGGGAAACUGGGUCUAAUACUGGAUAGGACCAUGCUGUAGGUGGUGUGGUGGAAAGAUUAGUUUCGGUAAGGGAUGAGCUCGCGGCCUAUCAGCUUGUUGGUGGGGUAAUGGCCUACCAAGGCGUCGACGGGUAGCCGGCCUGAGAGGGUGGACGGCCACAUUGGGACUGAGAUACGGCCCAGACUCCUACGGGAGGCAGCAAUGGGGAAUAUUGCACAACGGGCGCAAGCCUGAUGCAGCGACGCCGCGUGGGGGAUGACGGCCUUCGGGUUGUAAACUCCUUUCAGCCAUGACGAAGCCCUUGUGGUGACGGUAGUGGUAGAAGAAGCACCGGCUAACUACGU